GCUCAUCUCUUCAGAUUAGGGAUUCUGAUUAAUCGGAGCUCUAGGGUUUGGGGGAGAAUCGCAGAGAUGAUCGGGGAACCUAGGGCUCCAGGAGAAACACACACCACGUGAAGCUCACAAGGACAAAGCGAGAGACCAAGAUGGAAGGAGGUGAAGGAGAAAGUAGCAGCACCGCCGCCGCAGGAGUUGUCCCGGAGUCAGCUAUGGAGGCUGUAAAACAAACACUAGCCCAACUCCAGGAACUGAAACCGCAGCUCGAGGAGAUGAUGUCUUUAGCUAAACCAGAGGCUCUUGCCCAAAUGCAGCCACUGCAGAGGGCUAAGACUAUGUACUUGCUCGCCGAAGCCACCACAACGAUGUUCACUCUGAGGCUAAGGUGUAGUGGUGUGAACCCUGAUGAUCAUCGAGUUAAAUCUGAAAUUGAGAGGCUAAACGUGUACAGAGAGAAGUUACAGCGGUGUAUGGAUCGAAGAAAUGUGUCUUAUUCACUAGACGAUCUCUCUUAAUCAUAUAACCAUUGCGUCCGACUACAGUCUUAAACCGUCAGGCAGCAACACGUUUCAUCGAACACUCUCUGCCUGAUCUUUCAUCUACCCAAAAGCAAAACAUUAAAGACCUCAGUAAAGGAGAGAAAUCAAGGAUGACCACCUAUUCAGAAACAACUGCGAAAAAGAGGAAGUACCAAGCAGAUGAUGAGAAACAAUCUGUUCAGCCAGAAGAAGGAUAGUUAGGG